rnacentral:rRNA from 1 species
UGAGGAAUAUUGGUCAAUGGACGAGAGUCUGAACCACCCACGCAGCGUGCAGGAUGACGGCUCUAUGGGUUGUACACUGCUCUUGUUUGGGAAUAAUCCACAUUACGUGUACUGUUUUGCAUGUACCAUUCGAAUAAGGACCGGCUAAUUCCGUGCCAGCCGCCGCGGUAAUACGGAAGGUCCAGGCGUUAUUCGGGUUUAUUGGGUUUAAAGGGGGUGUAGGCGGUUGGUUAAGCGUGUUGUGAAAUGUAGAUGCUCAACAUCUGACAUUGAGCGCGAACAGGCUGACUUGAGUGCACACAACGGAGGCGGAAUUCAAGGUGUAGCGAUGGAAUGCUUAGAUAUCAUGAAGAACUCCGAUUGCGAAGGGAGCGUACGGGGGUGUUACAGACGCUUAAGCACGAAAGUGCGGGGAUCGAACAGG